AGCGUACACGGUGGAUGCCCUGGCAGUCAGAGGCGAUGAAGGACGUGCUAAUCUGCGAUAAGCGUCGGUAAGGUGAUAUGAACCGUUAUAACCGGCGAUUUCCGAAUGGGGAAACCCAGUGUGUUUCGACACACUAUCAUUAACUGAAUCCAUAGGUUAAUGAGGCGAACCGGGGGAACUGAAACAUCUAAGUACCCCGAGGAAAAGAAAUCAACCGAGAUUCCCCCAGUAGCGGCGAGCGAACGGGGAGCAGCCCAGAGCCUGAAUCAGUGUGUGUGUUAGUGGAAGCGUCUGGAAAGGCGCGCGAUACAGGGUGACAGCCCCGUACACAAAAAUGCACAUGCUGUGAGCUCGAUGAGUAGGGCGGGACACGUGGUAUCCUGUCUGAAUAUGGGGGGGCCAUCCUCCAAGGCUAAAUACUCCUGACUGACCGAUAGUGAACCAGUACCGUGAGGGAAAGGCGAAAAGAACCCCGGCGAGGGGAGUGAAAAAGAACCUGAAACCGUGUACGUACAAGCAGUGGGAGCACGCUUAGGCGUGUGACUGCGUACCUUUUGUAUAAUGGGUCAGCGACUUAUAUUCUGUAGCAAGGUUAACCGAAUAGGGGAGCCGAAGGGAAACCGAGUCUUAACUGGGCGUUAAGUUGCAGGGUAUAGACCCGAAACCCGGUGAUCUAGCCAUGGGCAGGUUGAAGGUUGGGUAACACUAACUGGAGGACCGAACCGACUAAUGUUGAAAAAUUAGCGGAUGACUUGUGGCUGGGGGUGAAAGGCCAAUCAAACCGGGAGAUAGCUGGUUCUCCCCGAAAGCUAUUUAGGUAGCGCCUCGUGAAUUCAUCUCCGGGGGUAGAGCACUGUUUCGGCAAGGGGGUCAUCCCGACUUACCAACCCGAUGCAAACUGCGAAUACCGGAGAAUGUUAUCACGGGAGACACACGGCGGGUGCUAACGUCCGUCGUGAAGAGGGAAACAACCCAGACCGCCAGCUAAGGUCCCAAAGUCAUGGUUAAGUGGGAAACGAUGUGGGAAGGCCCAGACAGCCAGGAUGUUGGCUUAGAAGCAGCCAUCAUUUAAAGAAAGCGUAAUAGCUCACUGGUCGAGUCGGCCUGCGCGGAAGAUGUAACGGGGCUAAACCAUGCACCGAAGCUGCGGCAGCGACGCUUAUGCGUUGUUGGGUAGGGGAGCGUUCUGUAAGCCUGUGAAGGUGUACUGUGAGGUAUGCUGGAGGUAUCAGAAGUGCGAAUGCUGACAUAAGUAACGAUAAAGCGGGUGAAAAGCCCGCUCGCCGGAAGACCAAGGGUUCCUGUCCAACGUUAAUCGGGGCAGGGUGAGUCGACCCCUAAGGCGAGGCCGAAAGGCGUAGUCGAUGGGAAACAGGUUAAUAUUCCUGUACUUGGUGUUACUGCGAAGGGGGGACGGAGAAGGCUAUGUUGGCCGGGCGACGGUUGUCCCGGUUUAAGCGUGUAGGCUGGUUUUCCAGGCAAAUCCGGAAAAUCAAGGCUGAGGCGUGAUGACGAGGCACUACGGUGCUGAAGCAACAAAUGCCCUGCUUCCAGGAAAAGCCUCUAAGCAUCAGGUAACAUCAAAUCGUACCCCAAACCGACACAGGUGGUCAGGUAGAGAAUACCAAGGCGCUUGAGAGAACUCGGGUGAAGGAACUAGGCAAAAUGGUGCCGUAACUUCGGGAGAAGGCACGCUGAUAUGUAGGUGAAGUGAUUUACUCAUGGAGCUGAAAUCAGUCGAAGAUACCAGCUGGCUGCAACUGUUUAUUAAAAACACAGCACUGUGCAAACACGAAAGUGGACGUAUACGGUGUGACGCCUGCCCGGUGCCGGAAGGUUAAUUGAUGGGGUUAGCGCAAGCGAAGCUCUUGAUCGAAGCCCCGGUAAACGGCGGCCGUAACUAUAACGGUCCUAAGGUAGCGAAAUUCCUUGUCGGGUAAGUUCCGACCUGCACGAAUGGCGUAAUGAUGGCCAGGCUGUCUCCACCCGAGACUCAGUGAAAUUGAACUCGCUGUGAAGAUGCAGUGUACCCGCGGCAAGACGGAAAGACCCCGUGAACCUUUACUAUAGCUUGACACUGAACAUUGAGCCUUGAUGUGUAGGAUAGGUGGGAGGCUUUGAAGUGUGGACGCCAGUCUGCAUGGAGCCGACCUUGAAAUACCACCCUUUAAUGUUUGAUGUUCUAACGUGGACCCGUAAUCCGGGUUGCGGACAGUGUCUGGUGGGUAGUUUGACUGGGGCGGUCUCCUCCUAAAGAGUAACGGAGGAGCACGAAGGUUGGCUAAUCCUGGUCGGACAUCAGGAGGUUAGUGCAAUGGCAUAAGCCAGCUUGACUGCGAGCGUGACGGCGCGAGCAGGUGCGAAAGCAGGUCAUAGUGAUCCGGUGGUUCUGAAUGGAAGGGCCAUCGCUCAACGGAUAAAAGGUACUCCGGGGAUAACAGGCUGAUACCGCCCAAGAGUUCAUAUCGACGGCGGUGUUUGGCACCUCGAUGUCGGCUCAUCACAUCCUGGGGCUGAAGUAGGUCCCAAGGGUAUGGCUGUUCGCCAUUUAAAGUGGUACGCGAGCUGGGUUUAGAACGUCGUGAGACAGUUCGGUCCCUAUCUGCCGUGGGCGCUGGAGAACUGAGGGGGGCUGCUCCUAGUACGAGAGGACCGGAGUGGACGCAUCACUGGUGUUCGGGUUGUCAUGCCAAUGGCACUGCCCGGUAGCUAAAUGCGGAAGAGAUAAGUGCUGAAAGCAUCUAAGCACGAAACUUGCCCCGAGAUGAGUUCUCCCUGACUCCUUGA
rnacentral:rRNA from 1 species